CAUUUCUCCAUUAUAACAUCAUGAAUUUUAUUUAUUUUCAUCUUGAAGAACAUAUCUCAAUUCAGGAUUGCAAAAAAAAAAUGAUUACAUUCUAGAUGCAACAAACUAACAAUUAAUACAGAAAUUAUUUUCUUUUUUCAACUGAAUCUUACAAUUUCAAGACAUUGAUAUAACCUUUGUUACCUUUCAGUGGAUUUAUCGCCCCAGAGUAUAUGACAAAAGGUACAUUCUCAGUAAAGAGUAAAGACCGACACCGACGUGCAUAGCUUCGGGGUCAUGGUACUUGAAAUUAUCAGUGGGAAAAGAUGGACUCGGUCGAUUCAGGAAACUAAUUACCGGGAUCUACUAACCUGGUUAAACACAGCACGUGUGUUAUCUUGUUCCCCAGGCCUUCAAUAGGACACCGUACGGCGCCAAGCUGGUGCAGAGGCUCAAGGGUUUCUUGCCUCCAUCGCUGCACGGCAUCUCUUUCUGCAGCAGGGCUCUGCCGAAGUGCCUCUCAUUCCCAGCGAGGAGGAGAACGCUGUCACAGCAGAGGGAGAUGAGGAGGUGCGUUCGGGUGGCGCUGCUGUAGUGCUGUGCAUCCUGGAGAAGCCGGAGCGCCGGCCGGAGAUGCUGGAGGUCACGCGGAUGCUGAGCCCCCGGAAGGCUAGGGUGCCGUUCCCACGGCGGCCAGGCUAUGCCCGGGAGGGCCCGAUAUACGCCGGCGAUAGGAGCACCACCCCUUGAGGCUUUGUUUAGACAAACUCAUCAUCGCCUUCCAAUUCCUGAUGGGGGUGGUGCGUGUCGGCCUGUCGGUUCGCCGAACCGGCCCACGAAAAUGACCCUAAUGGGCUCCUUUUGGGAACCAUGAACUCAGCCUGGAUAAUCGGAUCGGAUUCACUGCAACCUUAAGGUCGAGUGGGUCGACCCACCGCUCGCGACUCCCUUCCGGUGCACACGCAUCCGCAGUUCCUCUCGCAGAUCCUGCAGACGCAUCCGCACCUGUUGCCCGCCGCUGCCGAGCAACAGCUGGAGCAGCUCCAUACGGAAAAGGAAUGGAGCUGCGACGCGGCCGCCGUCUCGAUCUGCGACGCGGCCAACUGCGGCAGGGGCAGCUGCACCGAGCUGCCGAAGCUGAUCCCCGACGUGCCCAACUACGAGUGCCACUUCGACCCCGGCUGGUCCCAGGCCUGGGAGGCCAUCCCCUUCUCGCCCAUCCCCAACGAUAAUGGAGGUGCCACAUGGAGUUGGAAAAGCAAAGUCAAGUAGUGGUAGAAAGUGGAAGAGAACUCCUCAGCCAACCGGUACUUGAAGGGGUAGACCUCAAUACCAAGGCUCCGGAAGUUGAACAAGUUCACUCAUUCGAAGAGAUGCAAGGUUAGGAAAAAUAUAAUAAAUAUGGCCCGUCAGCUUAGAUCAACUGUCAUGUCUCCUGAAGGAGUUUCUUUGGAUAACUGAUCGAUCAGUCAAGAAGUGUCUAGGAAAGAGUUAACCCGGAUGAUCUCGCUUCACGGGCUACCACUAUGGAAGCACUGAUAUGCUUGCAAGAUUGGAUGCCAGCCUUGUAUCUUGUGCUCCCUCUCCCGCCAUCACUAGCGACAUCUUUCAGGAGCAUGAAGUGAAGCUGAAGCUGAUUAUUGUUGUUGCGCAGGGUGCUAGCAGCCUUGAAGAUCAUCAACCAGCAACAAUAGGGUCAAAUGGGAAGUUUGCUGACUUCAGUAGCAUUGUUAUUCGGAUGGUUUUCCAAGAAUUAGGAAUGGACUUUAACUUUGAUGCAUGGUAGUCUCUUCAGAUUGUUUAGCUAGCUAAAACAUGUGUGCAGGAACAGCAGUCAGUAGCAUAUAGAAUUUCUAAACUACAUAAUAGUCGUUGUUAAUGUAAUAUCUUCCUGCUGCCGUAAUAUGAGUAAA